CUGAAUCAGUGUGUGUGUUAGUGGAAGCGUCUGGAAAGGCGCGCGAUACAGGGUGACAGCCCCGUACACAAAAAUGCACAUGCUGUGAGCUCGAUGAGUAGGGCGGGACACGUGGUAUCCUGUCUGAAUAUGGGGGGACCAUCCUCCAAGGCUAAAUACUCCUGACUGACCGAUAGUGAACCAGUACCGUGAGGGAAAGGCGAAAAGAACCCCGGCGAGGGGAGUGAAAAAGAACCUGAAACCGUGUACGUACAAGCAGUGGGAGCACGCUUAGGCGUGUGACUGCGUACCUUUUGUAUAAUGGGUCAGCGACUUAUAUUCUGUAGCAAGGUUAACCGAAUAGGGGAGCCGAAGGGAAACCGAGUCUUAACUGGGCGUUAAGUUGCAGGGUAUAGACCCGAAACCCGGUGAUCUAGCCAUGGGCAGGUUGAAGGUUGGGUAACACUAACUGGAGGACCGAACCGACUAAUGUUGAAAAAUUAGCGGAUGACUUGUGGCUGGGGGUGAAAGGCCAAUCAAACCGGGAGAUAGCUGGUUCUCCCCGAAAGCUAUUUAGGUAGCGCCUCGUGAAUUCAUCUCCGGGGGUAGAGCACUGUUUCGGCAAGGGGGUCAUCCCGACUUACCAACCCGAUGCAAACUGCGAAUACCGGAGAAUGUUAUCACGGGAGACACACGGCGGGUGCUAACGUCCGUCGUGAAGAGGGAAACAACCCAGACCGCCAGCUAAGGUCCCAAAGUCAUGGUUAAGUGGGAAACGAUGUGGGAAGGCCCAGACAGCCAGGAUGUUGGCUUAGAAGCAGCCAUCAUUUAAAGAAAGCGUAAUAGCUCACUGGUCGAGUCGGCCUGCGCGGAAGAUGUAACGGGGCUAAACCAUGCACCGAAGCUGCGGCAGCGACGCUUAUGCGUUGUUGGGUAGGGGAGCGUUCUGUAAGCCUGUGAAGGUGUGCUGUGAGGCAUGCUGGAGGUAUCAGAAGUGCGAAUGCUGACAUAAGUAACGAUAAAGCGGGUGAAAAGCCCGCUCGCCGGAAGACCAAGGGUUCCUGUCCAACGUUAAUCGGGGCAGGGUGAGUCGACCCCUAAGGCGAGGCCGAAAGGCGUAGUCGAUGGGAAACAGGUUAAUAUUCCUGUACUUGGUGUUACUGCGAAGGGGGGACGGAGAAGGCUAUGUUGGCCGGGCGACGGUUGUCCCGGUUUAAGCGUGUAGGCUGGUUUUCCAGGCAAAUCCGGAAAAUCAAGGCUGAGGCGUGAUGACGAGGCACUACGGUGCUGAAGCAACAAAUGCCCUGCUUCCAGGAAAAGCCUCUAAGCAUCAGGUAACAUCAAAUCGUACCCCAAACCGACACAGGUGGUCAGGUAGAGAAUACCAAGGCGCUUGAGAGAACUCGGGUGAAGGAACUAGGCAAAAUGGUGCCGUAACUUCGGGAGAAGGCACGCUGAUAUGUAGGUGAAGUCCCUUGCGGAUGGAGCUGAAAUCAGUCGAAGAUACCAGCUGGCUGCAACUGUUUAUUAAAAACACAGCACUGUGCAAACACGAAAGUGGACGUAUACGGUGUGACGCCUGCCCGGUGCCGGAAGGUUAAUUGAUGGGGUCAGCGCAAGCGAAGCUCUUGAUCGAAGCCCCGGUAAACGGCGGCCGUAACUAUAACGGUCCUAAGGUAGCGAAAUUCCUUGUCGGGUAAGUUCCGACCUGCACGAAUGGCGUAAUGAUGGCCAGGCUGUCUCCACCCGAGACUCAGUGAAAUUGAACUCGCUGUGAAGAUGCAGUGUACCCGCGGCAAGACGGAAAGACCCCGUGAACCUUUACUAUAGCUUGACACUGAACAUUGAGCCUUGAUGUGUAGGAUAGGUGGGAGGCUUUGAAGUGUGGACGCCAGUCUGCAUGGAGCCGACCUUGAAAUACCACCCUUUAAUGUUUGAUGUUCUAACGUUGGCCCCUAAUCGGGGUUGCGGACAGUGUCUGGUGGGUAGUUUGACUGGGGCGGUCUCCUCCUAAAGAGUAACGGAGGAGCACGAAGGUUGGCUAAUCCUGGUCGGACAUCAGGAGGUUAGUGCAAUGGCAUAAGCCAGCUUGACUGCGAGCGUGACGGCGCGAGCAGGUGCGAAAGCAGGUCAUAGUGAUCCGGUGGUUCUGAAUGGAAGGGCCAUCGCUCAACGGAUAAAAGGUACUCCGGGGAUAACAGGCUGAUACCGCCCAAGAGUUCAUAUCGACGGCGGUGUUUGGCACCUCGAUGUCGGCUCAUCACAUCCUGGGGCUGAAGUAGGUCCCAAGGGUAUGGCUGUUCGCCAUUUAAAGUGGUACGCGAGCUGGGUUUAGAACGUCGUGAGACAGUUCGGUCCCUAUCUGCCGUGGGCGCUGGAGAACUGAGGGGGGCUGCUCCUAGUACGAGAGGACCGGAGUGGACGCAUCACUGGUGUUCGGGUUGUCAUGCCAAUGGCACUGCCCGGUAGCUAAAUGCGGAAGAGAUAAGUGCUGAAAGCAUCUAAGCACGAAACUUGCCCCGAGAUGAGUUCUCCCUGACUCCUUGA
rnacentral:rRNA from 1 species